UACGGAGGGUGCAAGCGUUAAUCGGAAUUACUGGGCGUAAAGCGCGCGUAGGCGGCUUGGUCAGUUGGAUGUGAAAGCCCUGGGCUUAACCUGGGAACUGCAUUCAAUACUGCCAGGCUAGAGUGUAAGAGAGGAGAGUAGAAUUCCUAGUGUAGCGGUGAAAUGCGUAGAUAUUAGGAGGAAUACCAGUGGCGAAGGCG
rnacentral:rRNA from 1 species